UCAUGACCUCGAGCUCAAGAGUCACAUGUUGCAUGGACUGAGCCAGUCAGGGGUCCCUUGAACAUCCUCUAGAUGUUCAUUCAAGAUUCUGCCCAGGGUUGAACUCCUGGCAAGUGUUAAGGAUGCAGCUUGUUCCUGUGUGUUCCCCCAAAGCCUCCAGAGUUAACAGGUGCUGUUACCAUAACGUGCGUGCUUGUUCAGAGGGCUAGUACCUUAUGUGGAGCCCAAGAGUGACUUGAGGAACCCUGAGCCAUUUUUCUGCUGGGCUCCAGUCUGAAGUCAGAGGUCUGAAGAAAGAACAAGGCCUGUAUCCUAGGAAUCCAGUUCUUCAGGGAUAUCAAAAGGAAGUUUUCAGGUCAUUUUUUGUACAACCUAGUAGAAGUGAGCAUACAGUUGUUUCAGCCUUUCUCAAUAAAAGUUUAACCUUUAUUGUU